CAGAGUGAGUUAGUGUCGCGCUUGCUUGUCUGUGGAUUAGUAUGCGUUUCCCUUCCUCCUCCUCCACCUCUUCUUCGUCCUCCUCCUCCUCCUCUUCUUCGUCUCUCCUCCUCCUCCUCCUCCUCCUGAGUGUGUCCCUGCGCGCCCUCCCGUCACCUCGCCCCGGGCCGCCCCUUGACGUGUGUUUGUGAAUAGAGCCACACACGCACGCCCUCCGAGUGUGUGUGUGUGUGUGUGUGCCCCGGGGGAGGGAGGGGCGGACAUGGCUCGUGUUGGGCAAAGGAGGCAGGACGGUGAGCAGGAGAAGAGCCAUGAGGAGGUGCAGUGGAUAGUUGGCGGAACCACCACAACCACUACCACCACCACCACAACAACAACAACGAUAACAACACCUACUACUAUCACCACCACCACCACCACCACCACCAGACAAAGGCCGCUGUCCCUGGUGUUCCUGAGCUGCGUCUCGCCCCAGCACGUACCGAAGGGCAGAGUGACGGGGCAGAGGACGGAGAGGAGGAACUCGGAGGGGAACUGUCUGGAAGGGGAGGAGAGGGGCGGAGUGACGGGGAAAGGGGCGGAGCGGAGGGAACGGAGCCGCAGUGUAUCGGGGUCCCGCCUUCUGUUAGCUUUGAAGAGACGAACGAGAUCUGGUGUUGCUGAAGGAGGAGGAGGAGGAGGAGGAGGAGGCAGCCCAUCAAACAACACCAGUUCAUUCCCUCACCUCCACCCCACCUCCCCUCUCACCUCCGCCAGCGUCACCACCCCUAUCCCCGCAGCCAGACAGCACACCUCCCCCGGGGCACAUGUCCUGAGUGUCAGCCCCCCCGCCCCCACCGAGCCCUCACGAGCGCCCCGCCGCCGCCCCAGGGUCAGAUCUCUUGUCGCUCGGCCGCGUACGUGGAGUGACGCCGCCCAGAGCCUCCACUAUGUCACGACCCCGCCCUCGCCGACCCUCAAGACAGGCAGACUGGAGGGGCGCCCGUGUUCCUGGGGGGAUGGGAAGGGCGCCGCGGCAGCCCCACCCGGCACCCCUGAUUCCCCGUGGCCCCCCGAGGAGUGGCGUUCCCUCCCUUCCCCCUACAACGGUUUCCUGUCCUCCCUCUUCCAUAGUCUGUCCCUCCGCCAACCCGCGUCGCCUGGCUCACCGCACGAGUCCUUUGGGAGCAUCUACCGGCGAGGGGCGAGGCGAUGGAGGAAGCUGUACAAGGUCAAUGGGCACAUCUUCCAGGCCAAACGCUUCAACAGGCGGGCCUUCUGCGAGUUCUGUAAGGACCGCAUCUGGGGACUGGGGCGGCAGGGCUUCAAGUGUACGCAAUGCAAGCUGCUCGUCCACAAGAAGUGCCACAAACUGCAGAAAGUGCCGUGCAAUGCCGACCUGGACACCUCGACGGACACCCUGGCCUCCCAAGACUCCUCCACGCUUCCCCGCAGCGGCACCAAUGGGAGGAUGGCCGUGCAGGACUUUGCCGGGGAGGUCGCAGAUGCAGGAGUCACUGAAGAAACACCUGUGGAAAUGCCUGCAAUUUCAGGCGGCAGCAGUGAGCCCAUGUCCCCGUCAGGCCAGGCAGGCCAGUACUGCCUCGAUGACUUUGAGCUGAUCCGCGUCAUCGGCCGCGGCUCCUACGCCAAGGUGCUCAUGGUGGAGCUGAAGAAGACCAAGAGGAUCUAUGCCAUGAAAGUUAUCAAGAAGACGCUAGUCACGGACGAUGAGGACAUUGACUGGGUUCAGACCGAGAAACACGUGUUUGAGACUGCCUCCAAUCAUCCCUUCCUGGUGGGUUUGCAUUCCUGCUUCCAGACUCCGUCCAGACUCUUCUUCGUCAUAGAGUUUGUGCGUGGUGGAGACCUUAUGUUCCACAUGCAGCGGCAGCGGCGACUUCCCGAGGAACAUGCCAGAUUUUAUGCUGCAGAAAUUUGUCUGGCUCUUAACUUCCUCCAUGAAAAGGGCAUCAUUUACCGAGACCUCAAGCUGGACAACGUUCUGCUGGACCACGAGGGACACAUCAAGCUCACUGACUAUGGCAUGUGCAAGGAAGGCAUCCGUCCAGGAGACACCACCUCCACCUUCUGCGGCACACCCAACUACAUCGCCCCAGAGAUCCUGCAGGGUGUUGAGUACAGCUUCAGCGUUGACUGGUGGGCCCUGGGUGUCCUGCUGUACGAGAUGCUGGCCGGAAAGAGUCCCUUUGAUAUUGUGGGAGCCUCAGACAACCCAGACUGCAACACUGAAGACUUCCUCUUCCAAGUCAUUCUUGAGAGGCCAAUUCGUAUCCCUCGGUCACUGUCCGUCAAGGCCGCCUCCAUCCUGAAGGGCUUCCUCAACAAGAACCCAGUGGACCGCCUGGGCUGCCACCCAGAGACAGGCUUCACAGACAUCAUCUCUCACCCCUUCUUCAAGACAAUAAUCUGGGAAAUGCUGGAAAGAAAACAGAUUCCUACCCCAUUCAAGCCCCGGGUGGAUGGAGAAAGAGAUCUUGAAAACUUUGAUCCUCAGUUUACAGCAGAGCCUGUACAGUUUACUCCAGACGACCAUUGGAGCAGCGACAGGUCCCCCCGCCUUACCGCCCCCGGCUAGACUCUGACCGUGACCUGGCUAACUUCCCCCCAGAAUUUACAGAUGAGCCUAUUCAACUGACCCCUGAUGAUGCGCGUGCCAUCGAGAACAUUGACCAGAGUGAGUUUGAAGGGUUUGAGUACGUCAACCCGCUGCUGAUGAGCAUGGAGGACUGUGUGUAGCCGGGCCAACACGCCGCGCCUCGCCGGGAUGCUGGACUCAUCCUUCCCUCGGCCUCACCUCCUCCACACUUUGCAGAUGAGAUAUAGAACUCGUACCAUCCCCUUCCUAUCACCCACUUACACUCCACUGACUUCCAUUGUGAAAAAUUCCAUCUGGGGUGAGAGGAGGCAUCAGCUGAGGGAGAGAGGAAGUGUGUGGUGAGAAAGUAAUGAGAAGGAAAUGUACAGUGAAGCAAGAGAAGUGAUGACUAGGUCCAAUAGUCGUGCCCCAAGAUUCUUUUGUAACUAUUGCCUUAUGCUGAGGAACACUUUCUGUGGUAGGGAAUAAUUGAUUUUCAUGUUCAUCUCCUACCAAGACUUUCAUUAUGCCUUCAUAGCAUUUCAGUCUCCCCAGUUUUUAUGAUUUGCUGAUUGUAGACAGCCAGCAUAUGCACGCAUGAUAAAACUAAACAGAUUGAUUUAUUAUAUGUAACACUUCAAGAAAUCCCUUCAGAUUCUCUCUGCUGAUCAUUGUUUAGCUUCAGUGAUUUUCAUCGCCACUAUUUUUAAACAUGUUGACUUUCAAGUCUUCUGGAAGAGGAAAGAGUAAAAGAUGCUUUAUUUUGACUUCCAUCCCCACCCUCCCACCUUUGGAUACACAGUAAUGAUUUAUGAUGUGAUGAUUCUGUAGGGACCAAAGAAAGCCUUGUUUCAAAGUGAUCCGCCAGAUAUCUCAUUUAUUCGUGAUUUUCACAAUCGAUUCAAGUGAAAAUAUUUAAUGCUGGCUUUUUUCUACCGAGGUCUAUAUGAGUUGUAACUUCCUUUUUUUGUUAACAUGUAAUGGUUGUGCAAUAUUCAGGCAGCAGAGAACUUUCAAAAUCUCCGGGCAGCUUUUUGUGCAGCAAGCCAAGCAUGAACCACUGAUGAGAUAGGAACCUCCUGGUGUGGAGCAGCUAACCACCAAAGGCAACUACUGGGUGGAUGUCAGCCAGGAAGGUUCACAAGUGAUUAUGUCUGUAGGAAGAAGACACAGGUGCCAGACUCUGAAGGGCGCACCAACAGUGUUCAGAUGAGCUGGUCAGCAGCUGGCUCUUGGUAAUAAAGUGAUGUUGAUAGCAUCAUAUGUAUCACGAUAUUUCAAUAAUGACACCAUCCCUGCGCUUAUUAUAAUCAGAUUUUAGCACAUAUAAGCAUAAUAUUACACUCACAGAAGAUAUCAUUUCAUAUGAAUAAAAUUGCAAAUGUUACCUGCGAGAGCAAUGGUCAUUCUUUACUCAUCAUUAACUUUUCAUGUGCUCCCACAAGGAUAUUCAUUGUGUCUUCCAGAUUAAGAUUGUCAGUUCAGGCAUGAUGACAGGUGUUUGACAGACACCUUGGCUAGUGGUGCAAGACCUGGGUGUGGCUUCAUGAUCUCUAGUAAUUCCAGAUGACUGAAUCCUGUUCCUGUUCACUUUAAUAAUAUGUCCAUCAUCAUUUAGCGUUAAGAACAAUUGAAGUUCUUUAAAAUAUCCACCGGUUAUAUUUUGUGUAAUUUCUUUCAUAAUUUUUUGUAUUCUCUUAGAGAUUAUUGGUGCAAGUGCCUGUUGUAGAGCUGCAAUAUGUAUCGUUGAAGUUCUUGGUUGGACAUAUUUUCCAACCACUGAGUAAUGUAGACAGGUAGGCUGCUUGCUGGCUUACCACUAAUAUAGGACAAAGCUGAGUCACAGCUCUGUAAGGAGUCAUAAUGGUGAGGAAGUAAGUGAAAUGCAUUGUUUGUAUCAUAUUUAUAAUUUACAAAGCUGUAAUCCUAAGGUAGAGUCUGGCUCGAUCAUAAGAAUUAAAGGAGCUUCUGUGAAGUUUCUCAAACCUGCCUGAACGAUAAUAUUCCAGGCACUCGUACUGCCACUCAGACACGCCUUGGACAGUGAGUGGAUGCUGAACACUAACAUUCCCGGGACAUUCCAUGCACGCGAGGGGCAGAGAGGCUGCUGGACGAUAACAAUGCUCUUGCCUGGGCCCCCCUUCAUUCAUGAGAAUAGUUUUUAAUUGUAGAAAAUUAUUACUGCUGCUGUUUGAAAUACUGAAAUGUUUUCUUGUUAUUGUACUUUAAAAGUUAUCAUACCUUAUAUUUUUAUAUCAAGAAGCAUAGUUGCACAUAUUUUGGGAUGAAAAAGGGAUUUUUUUUCAAUCUCACAAGUUGUGUAGGUUUCUUGUGAGCGCUGAGAUCUAAUGAAUAUCAACAUUCUUUUGUGAAUAUUUCUGUUUCAUCUCAAAUAAUUUAGUCAUUCUUUUCAUCUCAUCUGCUCUGUAAGAGGAAUUUUAAUCCUUAUAGAUCAAUUUAAAUCAAAUAUUAAAUGUAAAAAUCACACUAUUUAUAAAAUUGAAUGUUUCUGCAAAAUGGUAGCCUAUAACUUUUAUUUCAGAAUUGUGUGCCGGACUGAAUCAGUCUCUGCUGGUAGUCUUUCAGGGUUCAUUGCCUUCUGUCAUCGACUACUGAGAAGUGCUUAAUCUACUCCUUGCUCAGCAGGUGGCUUUUAACCCUAAAUUGGGCAAAGUGUAAAGAACACUAGUUUCACAUCCUGUUUGAGUGGCAAGUUGCUUUAUCAAUUGGCUGUUUUGCCUUAGCUACUGACGUUGUUGUCUGUGAAUUUUCAUUACUAAUUCAGGACUAGUAGUGUAAAUGCUGUUAAUUUACCCCAGUUAUCUCACCCUACCUUGGCACUUGUCUGUUUAACAUGGAUAUUUAUUUUGAAUAUUGAGGUAUUUUUAUUGUUAAUAUUUAUAGUUAUUUAGAUGACACACAUUUUAUAAACCUAAGCAUAAGAGGGAUGGACUGGAAUGGCUAAAUGGCCUCUCCUCAUAUACCACGUCCCCACGGGGAGGUCAGUGAGAUCGCUUCCUGUAAAUACGUACGUCUAGCACUGUAUAAUCAAAAUGGUGCUUGUGGUCCCUUCAUGACCUGGGAGCCAUGGUAAUAAAGGUGCCCAUUGGCUCUUACUGUGCGCACCUCAGCAGGACGCCUCUCUGGCCCAGCAGCCCACCCACGCCUCACCCCUCUGUGAAACCAAUGGCCAUGUAAUCAUUCUGCAGUUUAUGAUUAAGAAAACAUACAAGGGAAUGUACUAUAGUGUCAUCGGAGUAGAUUAUCCUGAAAAGAUGUGCUCUCUCUCUCAUUCCAAAUCUGCAGUGUUUAAAACAGCAAGUUUGGCAUUAUUUAGGUAAAAGAUUCACUCUGAACACAGGCCUGUUGCUCUAAGGGACUCGUCACUUUGGGCAGCAGUUCCGUAGCUCACACCAAUAUUUAGUUGACUGGGUCGUGUCUGAUAGAGGAGAAAGAUGCCAUCCACUGAGGAGGUGGAUGCUGGGCCAGGCAAGUGCCAUGCUCCUUGGGGCACUAAGCUUCAGGGUGGAGUCAGUGUCCCCAUAGGCAGGAUUUUUGUUUUCAUUUAUCUCAAGACUGUAACCAGUUUGUUGAAUAUUGUCAUUAGUUCAUCGGACUGUCAUGUACAGCAGUGACAUUAUUUUUCUGUGAUCACUCACAGAUGUGCUGUUGUGUUCAUUCUCUCAAACUGAGAAUUUAAGUAUCAAAUGCAGCAUUAACACUCAGGUAAGACAUUUCAAAGACACCUUUCAUGCAUAUCCCAAGCAUCUGUGAAGAGAUGCUAUUGGUAACUUUAUACAAUCACCAACAGAGUGGCAUAAUAUUAUCCUCUCAAAAAGCUCAGUUUACAUAUAUUUUUGUUUUUCCCAGUUUGUUAAUUUGAAUAAAGUGCAGAUGUAGCUGCUGUAAAGAAAUUGGAUUUGCUCACCAAAAGAGGGAAAAAUACUUGUGUGGAAAUGUCAGUCUUAGCGUCAAGGUGUCAAUACAGUAUUUUGAUAAAGUAAUAAAUCUAGUUUGAGGUACACUGUAAAUGUUUCCUAAGUAAAAAUUAUUUACUAAUAAAACUAUU